rnacentral:lncRNA from 1 species
UCCUGGGCAUAUAUCCAGAAGAUAUUCCAACUGGUAAUAAGAAGACAUGCUCCACAAUGUUCAUAGCAGCCUUAUUUAUAAUAGCCAGAAGCUUGAAAGAACCCAGAUGUUUUUCAACAGAAGAAUGGAUACAGAAAGUGUGGUACAUUUACACAAUGGAGUACUACUCAGCUAUUAAAAAGAAUGAAUUUAUGAAAUUCUUAGGCAAAUGGAUAGAUCUGGAGGACAUCAUCCUGAGUGAGGUAACCCAAUCACAAAAGAAUACACAUGAUAUCCAAUUUUUUAAAAAACAAAAACAACAAAAAAAACCCCACAAAAAACAAAAGCGUAUAUGCUGUCAUGAUUUGUGUUAGGGAGGGGUGCUGGUGAGGAUGCCAGCAGAGGGCAGUGUUGGAUGGCAGAUUCCCUGGAGCUGAAGACACCUGAUAUUGGUGCCAGGAACCCUACUAUUAUCCUCUGCAAGAGCAGCAAGUACUUCUACUUGCCCAACCAUUUUUCCAGCCCCUGUCAGAAAGUGGGUGAAGAGGCUAGUUUGUGAAGACAAGAAUGCUUCUAAUAGGCAGCUAAAUUUAAGGAGAGCUGCUGCUAGCCUUGGAGAAAAGGAAUUUGGGGCUUUCCUCUAGAUUCUCUGAUUUGUAGCCUGGAAAAUGGAGAGGAUGCUGGCUACCUGUUCCUUUGGAAAUACUUUAAUUUGUUUAAGAUUAGAAAAAUUGGCCAUGCUGGAGCCACUAUUUCUGAGUGACAGGGCUAUUUCUUGGGGAUUAUUGUAGAUGAAAAGAAAUAGACACUAUUUCUAACAAAUUUGUUAGUAUAAUAUGUCUGAAGAUUAUAAGUGCUUCUGAGAAGAAAGAUAAAGGAGAACAGGUCCUAGGUUUCAUAUAUGGAAAUGGGGAAAGUAACAUUUGAAUAGUUUUAAAGGAGUAAGGAGUGUUUAUCAUGUAUUGUUGUAAAAGGACACCCAAGAUAACACAUUGCACCUACUGGCUACUUGUUCCUGUUUAGAAUCAAAAACCUUUGGAAGAUUGUGAAUGGGGUGAAGGUAUUUAAUUUAAAGAGUCACUAGUAGGCUGUAUGUGUUAGGAAUAUAGAGG